rnacentral:snRNA from 1 species
UUCGUCGAUAUGUUGAACUUAGAA